rnacentral:rRNA from 1 species
GACGAACGCUGGCGGCGUGCUUAACACAUGCAAGUCGAACGGAGUGGCGAACGGGUGAGUAACGCGUGGGUGAUCUGCCUUGCACUUCGGGAUAAGCUUGGGAAACUGGUUCUAAUACCGGAUAGUGCAAGAUGAGCUCGCGGCCUGUCAGCUUGUUGGUGGGGUAAUGGCCUACCAAGGCGUCGACGGGUAGCCGGCCUGGGAGGGGGUACGGCGACAUUGGGACUGAGAGACGGCGCAGACUCGGACGGGAGGCAGUAGUGGGGAAUAUUGCACAAUGGGCGGAAGCCUGAUGAAGCGACGCCGCGUGGGGGAUGAAGGCCUGCGGGUUGUAAACUCCUUUCGACAGGGACGCGGUACCUGUAUAAGAAGCACCGGCUAACUACGUGCCAGCCGCCGCGGUAAUUC